rnacentral:rRNA from 1 species
AAUGAACGCUGGCGGCAGGCCUAACACAUGCAAGUCGAGCGGCAGCACAAGGGAGUUUACUCCUGAGGUGGCGAGCGGCGGACGGGUGAGUAAUGCCUAGGGAUCUGCCCAGUCGAGGGGGAUAACAGUUGGAAACGACUGCUAAUACCGCAUACGCCCUACGGGGGAAAGGAGGGACCUUCGGGCCUUCCGCGAUUGGAUGAACCUAGGUGGGAUUAGCUAGUUGGUGAGGUAAUGGCUCACCAAGGCGACGAUCCCUAGCUGUUCUGAGAGGAUGAUCAGCCACACUGGGACUGAGACACGGCCCAGACUCCUACGGGAGGCAG